AUACUUAAUUAUUUCUAUAGCUUGUAAUGAGGACUACUUUGCUACUUUAUUUAAUAGUCAAACGGCAACCAUUGAUGGAAUCAGUUAUACCACUGGAAUACCACAGUUCUGUAUAACAGGGACAUAUGCCAGGAUAUGUAAUGAUGGUACUAAUUAUCCUGAAUUGGGACUAGCUUUAUGCAAUAGUGCAGGAUUUCUAAAUUCUAUUUGGUGAGCUCCUUUCUUCAAAUUCAAGUCUUGCUCAGACCCUA